AGCAGCCGCGGUAAUUCCAGCUCCAAUAGCGUAUAUUAAAGUUGUUGCAGUUAAAAGCUCGUAGUUGAAUUUCGGGGUUAGUAGGUUGGUCAUGCCUCUGGUAUGUACUGGUCUCACUGAUUCCUCCUUCCUGAUGAACCUUAAUGCCAUUAAUUUGGUGUUUUGGGGAAUUUGGACUGUUACUUUGAAAAAUUAGAGUGUUUAAAGCAAGCUAACGCUUGAAUACAUUAGCAUGGAAUAAUGAAAUAGGACGUUCGAUCCUAUUUUGUUGGUUUCUAGGAUUGACGUAAUGAUUAAUAGGGAUAGUUGGGGGCAUUAGUAUUCAAUUGUCAGAGGUGAAAUUCUUGGAUUUAUUGAAGACUAACUACUGCGAAAGCAUUUGCCAAGGAUGUUUUCAUUAAUCAAGAACGAAAGUUAGGGAUCGAAGACGAUCAGAUACCGUCGUAGUCUUGACCAUAAACUAUGCCGACUAGGGAUCGGAUGAUGUUAAUUUUUUAAUGACUCAUUCGGCGCCUUAACC
rnacentral:misc_RNA from 1 species